rnacentral:rRNA from 1 species
AUGAAGAAUAUCAAGAGUGGAAAAGAGCUAGUGGAUGAAGUAAGGAAGAUUGAGAAGAACAUCAACACUGGUAGUACUAUCUCAUCUCUCCUUGAGCUGAGUGCUGCUGAGAUUUCUAGUCAUACAUGUGAGGUUCCAACACCGUCACAUUUAGCUGAGCAAGAUAGCGAGAGCCCAGAGGAAGAGAUACCUCAGAUUGAAGAUGUACUCGAAGCCAAGGCACAAGAUGAUCCAGAGCUCGAACAACAAAGUGAUCAAGUUGAAGACUCGUCAUCUACUACUCCUGAAGAAGUACAAGAAGAUGAUGUAGAUGAAGAUGAAGAACCUGAGACGCAUUUGCCCAUCGUCAUACAGGAGCGUGAUUUAGCAGGUUUAUCCAAUCCUCUUGAUGACAUGCUUCCUUAUGAGAUCUUUGCUGGUACUUUCCAUUGUGUUAUACCAUCAAUUAAGCUAGACUUGAAAAAUUAUUUGCUUGGACAUGAUCAUACAUACAUUGUUGGUGGCAUUGCUCUCAUUCCUGAUGAUGACACUUACUAUUCCCAUGCUAGUCUUGAGCUUAAUGAUAAAUUUCAUCCUCAUGUUAGUGUCGACCUUGCUGAUUUCUAUCAUCCUAAACAUGUGCUUUAUAGCUAUGCUUAUGUAAUUGGAUAUUCGAUUGAUGACUUGGAGGGUAUUAUCCCUACCACUUGCAUUGUCUCUUUUGUUGAGAGUGCUUUUAGGUUUUUGCUUGUGCACGAUCCAUUACAUGCUGACCAGGUUUGA